rnacentral:rRNA from 1 species
GACGAACGCUGGCGGCGUGCUUAACACAUGCAAGUCGAACGAAGUGGCGAACGGGUGAGUAAUACGUGAGUAACCUGCCAUCCUUUUUGGGAUAAGCCUUGGAAACGGGGUCUACUACCGGUUAAUUGGGUCUGUGCUCGCGGCCUAUCAGCGUGUUGGUGGGGUGUUGGCCUUCCAAGGCGGUGACGGGUAGCCGGCCUGAGAGCGAGACCGGCGACAUUAGGACUGAGGUACGGCACAGACUCAGACGGGAGGAAGCAGUGGGGGAUAUUGCACAAUGGGCGAAAGCCUAAUGCAGCGACGCCGCGUGGGAGAUGAAGGCUGUCGGGUUGUAAGCAUAUGUCGCGAUCGAACGGGUAGGUGGAGAAGAAGCGCCGGCUAACUACGUGCCAGCAGACGCGGUAAUUC